rnacentral:rRNA from 1 species
CCUACGGUGCGCAGCAGUGAGGAAUAUUGGUCAAUGGACGAGAGUCUGAACCAGCCAAGUAGCGUGAAGGAUGACUGCCCUAUGGGUUGUAAACUUCUUUUAUAAAGGAAUAAAACGAGGCACGUGUGCCUUUUUGCAUGUACUUUAUGAAUAAGGAUCGGCUAACUCCGUGCCAGCAGCCGCGGUAAUACGGAGGAUCCGAGCGUUAUCCGGAUUUAUUGGGUUUAAAGGGAGCGUAGAUGGGUUGUUAAGUCAGUUGUGAAAGUUUGCGGCUCAACCGUAAAAUUGCAAUUGAUACUGGCAGUCUUGAGUACAGUUGAGGUAGGCGGAAUUCGUGGUGUAGCGGUGAAAUGCUUAGAUAUCACGAAGAACUCCGAUUGCGAAGGCAGCUUACUAAACUGCCACUGACAUUGAUGCUCGAAAGUGUGGGUAUCAAACAGGAUUAGAUACCCUUGUAGUC